rnacentral:rRNA from 1 species
AGAGUUUGAUCCUGGCUCAGGAUGAACGCUAGCGGCAGGCUUAACACAUGCAAGUCGAGGGGCAGCAUAAUGGAUAGCAAUAUCUAUGGUGGCGACCGGCGCACGGGUGCGUAACGCGUAUGCAACCUACCUUUAACAGGGGGAUAACACUGAGAAAUUGGUACUAAUACCCCAUAAUAUCAUAGAAGGCAUCUUUUAUGGUUGAAAAUUCCGAUGGUUAGAGAUGGGCAUGCGUUGUAUUAGCUAGUUGGUGAGGUAACGGCUCACCAAGGCAACGAUACAUAGGGGGACUGAGAGGUUAACCCCCCACACUGGUACUGAGACACGGACCAGACUCCUACGGGAGGCAGCAGUGAGGAAUAUUGGUCAAUGGACGCAAGUCUGAACCAGCCAUGCCGCGUGCAGGAAGACGGCUCUAUGAGUUGUAAACUGCUUUUGUACGAGGGUAAACGCAGAUACGUGUAUCUGUCUGAAAGUAUCGUACGAAUAAGGAUCGGCUAACUCCGUGCCAGCAGCCGCGGUAAUACGGAGGAUUCAAGCGUUAUCCGGAUUUAUUGGGUUUAAAGGGUGCGUAGGCGGUUUGAUAAGUUAGAGGUGAAAUACCGGUGCUUAACACCGGAACUGCCUCUAAUACUGUUGAACUAGAGAGUAGUUGCGGUAGGCGGAAUGUAUGGUGUAGCGGUGAAAUGCUUAGAGAUCAUACAGAACACCGAUUGCGAAGGCAGCUUACCAAACUAUAUCUGACGUUGAGGCACGAAAGCGUGGGGAGCAAACAGGAUUAGAUACCCUGGUAGUCCACGCAGUAAACGAUGAUAACUCGUUGUCGGCGAUACACAGUCGGUGACUAAGCGAAAGCGAUAAGUUAUCCACCUGGGGAGUACGUUCGCAAGAAUGAAACUCAAAGGAAUUGACGGGGGCCCGCACAAGCGGAGGAACAUGUG